ACAGGUAAGGAGUGUGGAAGUAAAGGAAGCUCUGCGCCUUCAGAAAGAAAAUAACUUUGUGUUGCUUGAUGUAAGGCCAGAAGCACAGUUCAAAGAGGCACAUCCUCCAGGUGCAAUCAAUGUGCAAGUAUAUAGACUAAUAAAAGAGUGGACAGCAUGGGACAUUGCUAGGCGUGCUGCAUUUGCAUUUUUUGGCAUUUUUGCUGGUACAGAAGAGAACCCUGAGUUCAUCAAGAAUGUUGAAGCAAAACUAGAUAAAAGUGCAAAGAUAAUAGUCGCUUGCUCUUCAGGGGGUACAUUGAGACCAUCACAAAAUUUGCCUCAGGGACAACAAUCAAGGAGGGCCGAACGAGAGCUUCA